UGGCUCAGGAUGAACGCUAGCGACAGGCCUAACACAUGCAAGUCGAGGGGCAGCACAAGGAGCAAUCUGAGGUGGCGACCGGCGCACGGGUGAGUAACACGUAUGCGAACCUGGCUGUAAAGAGGGGAAUAACCCGGAGAAAUCCGGACUAAUACCGCAUAAGUACUUAGAAUCCGCAUGGAUUUUAAGUUAAACAUUUAUGGCUUACAGAUGGGCAUGCGUAUGAUUAGCUGGUUGGAGAGGUAACGGCUCCCCAAGGCAACGAUCAUUAGGGGUUCUGAGAGGAAGGUCCCCCACACUGGUACUGAGACACGGACCAGACUCCUACGGGAGGCAGCAGUGAGGAAUAUUGGUCAAUGGACGCAAGUCUGAACCAAGCCAAGUCGCGUGAAGGAAGAAUGUCCUAUGGAUUGUAAACUUCUUUUGAAGGGGAAUAAAGUACGGUACGUGUACCGUUUUGUAUGUACCCUUCGAAUAAGGAUCGGCUAACUCCGUGCCAGCCGCCGC
rnacentral:rRNA from 1 species